rnacentral:sRNA from 1 species
GGGUGAAGACCACGCCGAAAAGGAAGUCGUUCCAAAUCCCGGUCACCUGGAGGAUCAUCGCAACCACGAAGAUCGGCAGUGACAUCGGCAGCAUGAUCUUGAAAUAGAUCGUCCAGAACCCUG